rnacentral:rRNA from 1 species
GCUACGGGUGGCAGCAGUAAGGGAUAUUGGUCAAUGGGGGAAACCCUGAACCAGCAACGCCGCGUGAGGGAAGACGGUUUUCGGAUUGUAAACCUCUGUCCUCUGUGAAGAUGAUGACGGUAGCCGAGGAGGAAGCUCCGGCUACCUACGUGCCAGCAGCCGCGGUAAUACGGAGGGAGCGAGCGUUAUCCGGUUUUAUUGGGUUGAACGGGUGCGUAGGCGGGAUGCCAAGUCAGCGGUAAAAAUGCGGUGCUCAACGCCGGCGAGCCGUUGAAACUGGCGUUCUUGAGUGGGCGAGAAGUAUGCGGAAUGCGUGGUGUAGCGGUGAAAUGCAUAGAUAUCACGCAGAACUCCGAUUGCGAAGGCAGCAUACCGGCGCCCGACUGACGCUGAGGCACGAAAGCGUGGGUAUCGAACAGGAUUAGAUACCCUGGUAGUC